AGGAAAUAAGCGCAUCGGACAACACCGGAAGUACGGACACAGAUGGAAAACAGGAAGAAAAGAUGCAGAUGAACAUAUUGUGGCGGGUAUUUGGGUUUAAUAGGAUAUCAUUGAGAGGAGUUGAUGUGCCUUAUAAAUUCAGAGCCAACUUAUGAUAGGCUCUGAAAAUUGUGAGUGUGCUGACUUUGUAUAUAACAAUUUUAACCAUUUAUACAGGCUAAACUAUGUACUGUUUUAUUUCAUGUUUGGUGCAUUUUACCAAGUGACUUAAGGUAAAUGGUCCUUAUGUGUGCGCUGAACACUUUUUUUUUCCUCACUGCAUAUUGUAUUUUAGUGACUGUACACUUUGGUGUUUUUUUUGUUUUUAGCAGCACCAAUUUUGUACUUUUAGCGCCAUCUAUUCCUUUUUUCUAUUCUAAAUUAUUUUGUCUCUGUUACAGAUGUGUUUGGUAAUGUUACAACAGUAUUUGAAUUCAUACAGAAGCUUGAUAUGCAACAGGUUCUGGAAUGCCCCACUUUACGAACAUGCUUUAGGUUAAUGCAGGUUUUGUACAUCUCCAUAUUCCUCAUUCCACCGGUAUUCUUUUUACAUUCAGUCAAGACAUUGGUAAGGAGCAGUGC